rnacentral:tRNA from 2 species
UGGGGUAUCGCCAAGCGGUAAGGCACCAGGUUUUGAUCCUGGCAUCCCCUGGUUCGAAUCCAGGUACCCCAGCCA